GACACCGCGCUCACCGAAGAGUGGGCCAGGGAGUUACUGUCCGCUGCGGGCGUGGUCGCGCCACAAGAGGUACGAGUGGAAUCCCGUGCGGGAGUCGCCGGUGCCCUGAGCAGGGUACUCGCGGUAACCGUACGCUACGAGAGCAACGGAGAACGCGAAGCCCUGCCUCUAGUCGUGAAGUUACCACCACGGGACCCUUUCGGAAGGCUCUUUGUCGCUGAGGCCCAGUUCGAUACACGAGAGAUACUCUUCUACACCGAAUUAGCUCCGGUUCUCAACCGUUUGGCAGAAGAGGCCUUUGGUCCGGGUCAAGGGCUACCAAUACCUAAAUGUGUGAAGGCUAGACUACCGGAUGAGAUUGGAGGUGACAGUGAGUUGGUCCUUGAAGAUGUCACAGC